CAGUAGCCGCGGGAAUACGUAGGGUGCAAGCGUUAAUCGGAAUUACUGGGCGUAAAGCGUGCGCAGGCGGUUUGUUAAGACAGAUGUGAAAUCCCCGGGCUCAACCUGGGAACUGCAUUUGUGACUGGCAAGCUAGAGUCUGGCAGAGGGGGGUGGAAUUCCGCGUGUAGCAGUGAAAUGCGUAGAUAUGCGGAGGAACACCGAUGGCGAAGGCAGCCCCCUGGGCCAACACUGACGCUCAUGCACGAAAGCGUGGGGAGCAAACAGGAUUAGAUACCCGCGUAGUCCCUGUCUCUUAUAC
rnacentral:rRNA from 1 species